GUGCCAGCAGCCGCGGUAAAACGUAGGAGGCGAGCGUUAUCCGGAUUUACUGGGUGUAAAGCGCGUGCAGGCGGUCUACUAAGUUGGAUGUGAAAGCUCCUGGCUCAACUGGGAGAGGUCGUUCAAGACUGGUAAACUGGAGAGCAGUAAGGGAAGGUGGAAUUCCGGGUGUAGUGGUGAAAUGCGUAGAUAUCCGGAGGAACACCAGUGGCGAAAGCGGCCUUCUGGACUGUAUCUGACGCUCAGACGCGAAAGCUAGGGGAGCAAACGGGAUUAGAUACCCCUGUAGUCC
rnacentral:rRNA from 1 species